rnacentral:lncRNA from 1 species
GGAAUGUAAGAAAAUUCAAUUAUUAUUACAUAUACAUUACAAAAAUAAUAUUACAGUUUUUUUUGGGUGUCUGUCUGAUUAGCCUUCAAUAUUUUUCGUUGCGGUGAGUUAAUUGUUUCGGAUUUUUUUGGUUUUGGGUUUCUAUUAUUACUGAAAUGAUUAGAAUCGUAAUUGACAAUUUGGCUGCUACAAAUCUUCUAACC